rnacentral:lncRNA from 1 species
GCUCUUGAGAUGGAAAGCACGGAUGCAGGGUACGUGACUCCACACCGGUCUGGGGGACUGUUGAGCACUACGGUGUGUCCCCUGAAGACAGGUGGUCCGAGACUGGCAGCCAGUCAGAGAAAAAGGCACAGGAACGAAUGGUCGAGGACAGAGAAAGAGACGGGGCCAAACAGAGACAAAGCCAAAGCCAAAGAGACAGAGAUUGAGAAAGAAUGUCUGUUAGCCCUGCAAGGUCUUCCUUCCCUUCUCUAGAAGGCCUUAGAGGAAACUUUGGAGUCGUGUGACCUAAAGCACCUCAGGUCACUCUGGCAGGGGAGAGUGUGGUAGACCCCAGUAGCCUUGCCACAGAAAUAUAGAUGCCCAACUGGUUUUGAGAUGUUGAGGGAAGAGGAGGAUUUGGAGGACCUGGGAGAGGCAGACGAUGAGGAGGCAGAAGUAUGGUGAACAUGGCCGGAGCUGAUGCUAGCGAGCCUUGAGGUUGAGACAGCAAGGUGAGGUUGCACUGGGCAGUGACCCCAGAGGACAGUGGACAGUGUUUCAGGAGUGACGUUUAACCAGGUGGGCCUGAAAGUUCUUUUCCGGAACGGUGUGCUUGCUGCUGUAGAAGUCCCUGGUUGUGCUUUCCAGCCAGACAUUUGUUGCUUGACUGCAGGGUGGGGCAAACAUCCUGCACCAGGCGAAGGAGGAGCUCUCAUCCCCUAGGGGCGGCAACCCUCCAUGUGCUGGCAGGCCAUGCUGGAGGUUUUGGGCAGAGCAGGAGUGGUGAGAGAGCACAAGUGUUCUGAAUAUCCCGUGGAGACCAGCCAGGCCAAGCCCUCCCAGAACCGGUUGAAGAGUUCCCACUAUAAUGGUGGCCUAUGUGGUUUUCUGUGUUCACAG